rnacentral:rRNA from 1 species
UACGUAGGGGGCAAGCGUUGUCCGGAUUUAUUGGGCCUAAAGCAUCCGUAGCCGGCCUUACAAGUCCUCCGUUAAAUCCAGCUGCUUAACGGAUGGGCUGCGGAGGAUACUAUAAGACUAGGAGGCAGGAGAGGCAAGCGGUACUCAGUGGGUAGGGGUAAAAUCCGUUGAUCCAUUGAAGACCACCAGUGGCGAAGGCGGCUUGCCAGAAUGCGCUCGACGGUGAGGGAUGAAAGCUGGGGGAGCAAACCGG